rnacentral:rRNA from 1 species
UACGUAGGGGGCUAGCGUUGUCCGGAAUCAUUGGGCGUAAAGCGCGCGUAGGCGGUCCGGUAAGUCCGCUGUGAAAGUCGGGGGCUCAACCCUCGAAUGCCGGUGGAUACUGGCGGGCUAGAGUGCGGAAGAGGCGAGUGGAAUUCCUGGUGUAGCGGUGAAAUGCGCAGAUAUCAGGAGGAACACCAAUGGCGAAGGCAGCUCGCUGGGACGUAACUGACGCUGAGGCGCGAAAGCGUGGGGAGCAAACAGG